rnacentral:lncRNA from 1 species
CAUCAAUAGAACCCUUUAAAUUACAUCCUAUAUUAUGUUGUAGGGCAUGUAUUGCCCUAUAGUCUCACAUGCAAUGUCAGAGACAGAGGGAAGGAGAAAUGGAGAAUUGUGAUUUCACUGUAAAUCAAAGGCUAAGUGUUGUUUAUGAGCACUGGGAUUUUAGCACAUGAUAUCAUUUUACUUUUUUCCCCCUUAUAGCAGUUAACCUGAUGCAGGAC